rnacentral:misc_RNA from 1 species
UCAACCCUCAAGCCCGGCUUGAUGUUGGACUCGGUCGUGAAAAUGACCGGUCCCAAAGGCAAUGACGGCGUCUGUAGGACCCUCGGUGCAACGAGCUUUCAUAAAGCACGCACUCGAGUUGCAAGGACCUAUGGCCCGGUCAACUAUACUUUUUACCA